rnacentral:rRNA from 1 species
GACGAACGCUGGCGGCGUGCCUAAUACAUGCAAGUCGAACGAGAGCGACCGGUGCUUGCACUGGUCAAUCUAGUGGCGAACGGGUGAGUAACACGUGGGUAACCUGCCCAUCAGAGGGGGAUAACAUCCGGAAACGGAUGCUAAAACCGCAUAGGUCUUCGAGCCGCAUGGCUUGAAGAGGAAAAGAGGCGCAAGCUUCUGCUGAUGGAUGGACCCGCGGUGCAUUAGCUAGUUGGGGAGGGAACGGCUCACCAAGGCCGUGAUGCAUAGCCGACCUGAGAGGGUGAUCGGCCACAUUGGGACUGAGACACGGCCCAAACUCCUACGGGAGGCAGCAGUAGGGAAUCUUCCGCAAUGGACGCAAGUCUGACGGAGCAACGCCGCGUGAGUGAAGAAGGUUUUCGGAUCGUAAAACUCUGUUGUUAGAGAAGAACAAGUGCUAGAGUAACUGUUAGCGCCUUGACGGUAUCUAACCAGAAAGCCACGGCUAACUACGUG